GAUGAACGCUAGCGGGAGGCCUAACACAUGCAAGCCGAGCGGUAUUGUUUCUUCGGCGAUGAGAGAGCGGCGUACGGGUGCGUAACACGUGUGCAACCUGCCUUUAUCUGGGGGAUAGCCUUUCGAAAGGAAGAUUAAUACUCCAUAAUAUAUUGAACGGCAUCGUUUAAUAUUGAAAGCUCCGGCGGAUAGAGAUGGGCACGCGCAAGAUUAGCUAGUUGGUGAGGUAACGGCUCACCAAGGCGAUGAUCUUUAGGGGGCCUGAGAGGGUGAUCCCCCACACUGGUACUGAGACACGGACCAGACUCCUACGGGAGGCAGCAGUGAGGAAUAUUGGUCAAUGGGUGCAAGCCUGAACCAGCCAUCCCGCGUGAAGGACGACUGCCCUAUGGGUUGUAAACUUCUUUUGUAUAGGGAUAAACCUACCCUCGGGAGGGUAGCUGAAGGUACUAUACGAAUAAGCACCGGCUAACUCCGUG
rnacentral:rRNA from 1 species